rnacentral:rRNA from 1 species
CCUACGGGGGGCAGCAGUGGGGAAUAUUGGACAAUGGGGGCAACCCUGAUCCAGCCAUGCCGCGUGUGUGAAGAAGGCCCUCGGGUUGUAAAGCACUUCCAGUGAGGAAGAACGCCUGGUGGUUAAUACCCAUCAGGAAAGACAUCACUCACAGAAGAAGCACCGGCUAACUCCGUGCCAGCAGCCGCGGUAAUACGGAGGGUGCGAGCGUUAAUCGGAAUUACUGGGCGUAAAGCGCGCGUAGGUGGCUUGAUAAGCCGGUUGUGAAAGCCCCGGGCUCAACCUGGGAACGGCAUCCGGAACUGUCAAGCUAGAGUGCAGGAGAGGAAGGUAGAAUUCCCGGUGUAGCGGUGAAAUGCGUAGAGAUCGGGAGGAAUACCAGUGGCGAAGGCGGCCUUCUGGACUGACACUGACACUGAGGUGCGAAAGCGUGGGUAGCAAACAGGAUUAGAUACCCCAGUAGUC